ACGUAGGGAGCAAGCGUUGUCCGGAUUUACUGGGUGUAAAGGGUGCGUAGGCGGCUUUGCAAGUCAGAUGUGAAAUCUAUGGGCUUAACCCAUAGCCUGCAUUUGAAACUGCAGAGCUUGAGUGAAGUAGAGGCAGGCGGAAUUCCCCGUGUAGCGGUGAAAUGCGUAGAGAUGGGGAGGAACACCAGUGGCGAAGGCGGCCUGCUGGGCUUUAACUGACGCUGAGGCACGAAAGCGUGGGUAGCAAACAG
rnacentral:rRNA from 1 species